AUUGACGGUAUUUAACCAGAAAGCCACGGCUAACUACGUGCCAGCAGCCGCGGUAAUACGUAGGUGGCAAGCGUUGUCCGGAUUUAUUGGGCGUAAAGCGAGCGCAGGCGGUUUUUUAAGUCUGAUGUGAAAGCCUUCGGCUCAACCGAAGAAGUGCAUCGGAAACUGGGAAACUUGAGUGCAGAAGAGGACAGUGGAACUCCAUGUGUAGCGGUGAAAUGCGUAGAUAUAUGGAAGAACACCAGUGGCGAAGGCGGCUGUCUGGUCUGUAACUGACGCUGAGGCUCGAAAGUAUGGGUAGCAAACAGGAUUAGAUACCCUGGUAGUCCAUACCGUAAACGAUGAAUGCUAAGUGUUGGAGGGUUUCCGCCCUUCAGUGCUGCAGCUAACGCAUUAAGCAUUCCGCCUGGGGAGUACGGCCGCAAGGCUGAAACUCAAAGGAAUUGACGGGGGCCCGCACAAGCGGUGGAGCAUGUGGUUUAAUUCGAAGCUACGCGAAGAACCUUACCAGGUCUUGACAUACUAUGCAAAUCUAAGAGAUUAGACGUUCCCUUCGGGGACAUGGAUACAGGUGGUGCAUGGUUGUCGUCAGCUCGUGUCGUGAGAUGUUGGGUUAAGUCCCGCAACGAGCGCAACCCUUAUUAUCAGUUGCCAGCAUUAAGUUGGGCACUCUGGUGAGACUGCCGGUGACAAACCGGAGGAAGGUGGGGAUGACGUCAAAUCAUCAUGCCCCUUAUGACCUGGGCUACACACGUGCUACAAUGGAUGGUACAACGAGUUGCGAACUCGCGAGAGUAAGCUAAUCUCUUAAAGCCAUUCUCAGUUCGGAUUGUAGGCUGCAACUCGCCUACAUGAAGUCGGAAUCGCUAGUAAUCGCGGAUCAGCAUGCCGCGGUGAAUACGUUCCCGGGCCUUGUACACACCGCCCGUCACACCAUGAGAGUUUGUAACACCCAAAGUCGGUGGGGUAACCUUUUAGGAACCAGCCGCCUAAGGUGGGACAGAUGAUUAGGGUGAAGUCGUAACAAGGU
rnacentral:rRNA from 1 species